rnacentral:rRNA from 1 species
UACGGAGGAGGCAAGCGUUAUCCGGAAUUAUUGGGUUUAAAGGGUGCGUAGGCGGCUUUUUAAGUCAGAGGUGAAAGACUACAGCUUAACUGUGGCAGUGCCUUUGAUACUGGAGAGCUUGAGUACAGUUGAGGGAUGCGGAAUUCCAGGUGUAGCGGUGAAAUGCGUAGAUAUCUGGAGGAACACCGGUGGCGAAGGCGGCAUCCUGGACCAACACUGACACUGAGGAGCGAAAGCCAGGGGAGCAAACGGG